AAGUUUACUUUAAUUGAUGGCGACCGGCGCAAGGGUGAGUAACACGUGAGCAACAUGCCCAUAUCAGGGGGAUAACCCGGAGAAAUUCGGACUAAUACCGCAUAACAUAUAAUACAGGCCUCUGUUUUAUAUUAAAGAUUUAUCGGAUAUGGAUUGGCUCGCGAGACAUUAGCUAGAUGGUAAGGUAACGGCUUACCAUGGCGACGAUGUCUAGGGGUUCUGAGAGGAAGGUCCCCCACACUGGAACUGAGACACGGUCCAGACUCCUACGGGAGGCAGCAGUGAGGAAUAUUGGUCAAUGGACGCAAGUCUGAACCAGCCAUGCCGCGUGAAGGUAACGGCCCUAUGGGUCUUCUACUUCUUUUGUAAGGGAGCGAUAAGUUCUACGUGUAGGAUGAUGAGAGUACCUUACGAAUAAGCACCGGCUAACUCCGUGCCAGCAGCCGCGGUAAUACGGAGGGUGCAAGCGUUAUCCGGAUUUAUUGGGUUUAAAGGGUGCGUAGGCGGAAUAAUAAGUCAGUGGUGAAAUGUACCAGCUCAACUGGUAACGUGCCAUUGAUACUGUUAAUCUGGAAUACGGUUGCCGUGGGAGGAAUGUGUAGUGUAGCGGUGAAAUGCAUAGAUAUUACACAGAACACCGAUUGCGAAGGCAUCUCACGAAG
rnacentral:rRNA from 1 species